rnacentral:lncRNA from 1 species
CAAGCCAUAUUUUAAUCCACCAAGACAUAAAUAAAUCUGCACUUACUGUUUUUCAGAAGCACUCCAGGAAUUCUGAUAAGCAACCACGUUGGGGAUUGUCUGACCUGGAGACACAGGAUUAGUUUCUGACAACUGUCCCUGUGUUUGGAAUACGAUGUGUCCAAGUGUAGAGAAGAGAAAGCAUUCUGCUUCUGAUGGUUCCUGAAAGUUCUGACUUGCCACUUUGGCCACCCAGGCUGCAGUCUGGCCAGUGGGGAAAUGGGAUCUGAGGAGGCAGAGACCAUUGACAAAUAAGCUGGUGAUUGAGUGGGCCUUGUGGAAGAUGUGUAAUGUAAAUUAAGCCUUGACAGGUAUUAUAUGCCACCCUUUUCAUUAGCAUAAAAUUUAUGUCUGAGUCUCAGCUAAG